UGUAAAAUCUUAGUGGCGGACGGGUGAGUAACGCGUGGGUAACCUGCCUUACACUGGGGGAUAACACUUAGAAAUAGGUGCUAAUACCGCGUAAGCGCACGAAGCCGCAUGGAUUUGUGUGAAAAACUCCGGUGGUGUAAGAUGGACCCGCGUCUGAUUAGCUUGUUGGCGGGGUAACGGCCCACCAAGGCGACGAUCAGUAGCCGGCCUGAGAGGGUGGACGGCCACAUUGGGACUGAGACACGGCCCAAACUCCUACGGAAGGCAGCAG
rnacentral:rRNA from 1 species